UCAAGACAUAAACAUCAAGCCGGAUAAUACAAACACCUGUUUAAAAUCCAAAGACCUUGGCGGUGCUUCAUACACUCAGGGGAACCUGUCCCUUAAUUCGAUAAUCCACGAGUUCUUUUCCCUGUUUCGAAUUUUCAGCCUGUGUACUGCCGUCACAAGUAUGCCUCUGAGAGAUAGCAUACAGAAAUACCACCAUACAGACGUCAGGUCAAAGUGCAGCUAAUAAUAGGGCGGAGAUGGGUUACACUCUUUAACGAGAUCCAACAUUUGCUAAAAUAGCAAACCAAAGCUGGACUUGAUAGUAAUAAAUCCAUACAUUUAUGAACAAGAAUCUGAAGCAUGCACACAUCGCCCGUCACUCUCGUCAAAAGAUG
rnacentral:rRNA from 1 species